rnacentral:rRNA from 1 species
CCUACGGGUGGCAGCAGUGAGGAAUAUUGGUCAAUGGACGUAAGGCUGAACCAGCCAAGUCGCGUGAAGGAAGAAGGAUCUAUGGGUUGUAAACUGCUUUUAUAGGGGGAUAAAUGUCUCCACGUGUGUCUAUUUGCAUGUACCCUAUGAAUAAGCAUCGGCUAACUCCGUGCCAGCAGCCGCGGUAAUACGGAGGGUGCAAGCGUUAUCCGGAUUUACUGGGUUUAAAGGGUGCUUAGGUUGUUGUUUAAGUCAGCGGUGAAAUUUUGUGGCUCAACCAUAGAACUGCUUUUGAAACUGGGAGACUUGAGUGUGGUUGAGGUAGGCGGAAUGCGUGGUGUAGCGGUGAAAUGCAUAGAUAUCACGCAGAACUCCGAUGGCGAAGGCAGCUUACUAAGCCAUAACUGACACUGAAGCACGAAAGCGUGGGGAUCAAACAGGAUUAGAUACCCGGGUAGUC